rnacentral:rRNA from 1 species
CCUACGGGUGGCUGCAGUGAGGAAUAUUGGUCAAUGGGCGGAAGCCUGAACCAGCCAAGUCGCGUGAGGGAAUAAGGCCCUACGGGUCGUAAACCUCUUUUGCCGGGGAGCAAGGGCGGGGACGUGUCCCGGCCCGGAGAGUACCCGGAGAAAAAGCAUCGGCUAACUCCGUGCCAGCAGCCGCGGUAAUACGGAGGAUCCAAGCGUUAUCCGGAUUUAUUGGGUUUAAAGGGUGCGUAGGCGGAUUGAUAAGUUAGAGGUGAAAUGUCCGAGCUUAACUCGGGAACUGCCUCUAAUACUGUUGAUCUAGAGAGUAGAUGCGGUAGGCGGAAUGUAUGGUGUAGCGGUGAAAUGCUUAGAUAUCACGAAGAACUCCGAUUGCGAAGGCAGCUUACUAAACUGCCACUGACAUUGAUGCUCGAAAGUGUGGGUAUCAAACAGGAUUAGAUACCCGAGUAGUC